GACUUGUAAAUUACUUGGUCGUCUUUAGGUUUUAGGCCAUUUAGGUGACGGAAGCACCCCGACAAUGGAAAUAGUGAAAAGCUUUUCAAAGCGGAAACUUGUUUUUCAAACUUACCCAUCCAGUUGAUUGAGCAGCAUCCGCAGCGGCAGCAACGGGAAAGACGAACCGCGCGCCACCCGCCGGCUCGAGCUUCCGGCGCUCAGCUCGGCUCCGCUGCAGCUCUGCGCUGAGAAAAAGGGAACUUCCGCCGGGCAUGCUGAAGUCUCGGUCGUCUUGAGAUGCUUGACUGCCCUACGUCUGGAAGGAGGCCGACAGCCUGUUGUCAGAAGCAGGACCUGA
rnacentral:lncRNA from 1 species